rnacentral:rRNA from 1 species
CAUGCAAGUCGAACGAGGAUAUAUCCUUCGGGGUAUAAGCCGAGUGGCGCAAGGGUGAGUAAUGCAUAGAUUACCUGCCUCUAGGAUAAGGACAACUUUGUGAAAACGAAGCUAAUACUUAAUAAUACAAAAGAAAAUAAUUUUCUUUUGUCAAUGGGAGGGUAGCAAUACCUUUUGCCUAGAGAGGGGUUUAUGUCCUAUCAGCUUGUUGGUGGGGUAAUGGCCUACCAAGGCGAAGACGGGUAGCCGGUCUUAGAGGAUGGUCGGCCACACUGGGACUGAGACACUGCCCAGACUUCUACGGAAGGCUGCAGUCGAGAAUCUUUCGCAAUGCCCGAAAGGGUGACGAAGCGACGCCGCGUGAGUGAGGAAGGCCUUAGGGUUGUAAAGCUCUGUCAGGAGUUAAGAAAUAUAAGUGUGUUAAUACCACAUUUAUUUGACGAAGGCUCCAAAGGAAGCCACGGCUAACUCUGUGCCAGCAGCCGCGGUAAUACAGAGGUGGCAAGCGUUGUUCGGAAUUAUUGGGCGUAAAGAGCACGUAGGUGGGUUUGUAAGUCAGAUGUGAAAGCCUUCUGUUCAACGGAAGAAUUGCAUCUGAAACUGCAAGUCUUGAGUGUAGGAGGGGAGAAUGGAACUUCUGGUGGAGCGGUGAAAUGCGUAGAUAUCAGAAGGAACGCCGGCGGCGAAAGCGAUUCUCUGGCCUAUUACUGACACUCAGUGUGCGAAAGCUAGGGGAGCAAACGGGAUUAGAUACCCCGGUAGUCCUAGCCGUAAACGAUGGGCACUAAGUAGAGGGGAUUACCGAUGUUCUCUCUGCCGUAGCUAACGCAUUAAGUGCCCCGCCUGGGGAGUACGGCCGCAAGGCUAAAGCUCAAAAGAAUUGACGGGGGCUCGCACAAGCGGUGGAGCAUGUGGCUUAAUUCGAUGCAACGCGAAAAACCUUACCGGGGCUUGACAUGGUAGAAGUAGGAACCCGAAAGGGUAACGAACGGUAUCCAGUCCGUAGCUAUCACAGGUGUUGCAUGGCUGUCGUCAGCUCGUGUCGUGAGACGUUGGGUUAAGUCCCCUAACGAGCGAAACCCUUGUUUUUAGUUACCAGCGGGUUAUGCCGGGUACUCUAGAAAGACUGCCGUCGUCAAGACGGAGGAAGGUGGGGAUGACGUCAAGUCAUCAUGGCCCUUAUGCCCCGGGCUGCACACGUGCUACAAUGGUCGGUACAAACGGAAGCGAAGCCGAGAGGUGAAGCGAAUCCUAAAAAGCCGAUCUCAGUUCGGAUUGGAGGCUGAAAUUCGCCUCCAUGAAGUUGGAAUCGCUAGUAAUCGCGGAUCAGCAAUGCCGCGGUGAAUAUGUUCCCGAGCCUUGUACACACCGCCCGUCAAGCCACCCAAGCAGGAUGCACCCGAAAACAUUAUAUCUAACCAGGGCAACUUGGAGGAAAGUGUUGAAGGAGUGUUUUGUGAGGAGGACUAAGUCGUAACAAGGUAGUCGUAGGAGAACCUGCGGCUGGAUCACCUCCUUUCU